UUAUCUCUCCUAGCGAGGAAAUUUGUGGAGGGAAUGUGAAACCUCACUAUCAGGAAUCUUCUAGCACCAGGGCGCGCAUUGGAAACUUGCUAUUGUCAAAGAGAAGCAACCUAAGGCUAACCAUCCCUAUACUUGGAUCCAUGUCUCAGCAACAGCAGCCGGGGGACUAUUUAUAGCCAGAAGGUUAGGCAGAAUAAGUGCAUCCAUGACUCCACAGUAACUCGACUUGUCCUGCUCAAGGACAAAAUCCACGUGAAAGCCUGCCUGAGAAAGAAUUAAAAUUCACACGUGAACCGUUUAGAACACAAACCACCAAGUCCUUCACAGUACACUCGUGUGUCCUUGCAACAUUACGGCAAUAAUGCAAUGAUUCACUACGAUCACAUGCGCACUCUCCACAACCAUCUGCAGCCAUUGGGGCCUACAUGGAAGACUACUCGCAAGACUACACAUUGGAGAUCUGCAAGCAAGUAGUCAUUUAUACAAUAGUCAUCACCCCAAGAGAAACAACAGAUACUUGUUCAGACGCAUCAAGUCUAUCGGUAAAAUUACAAGUCAAUACAACGACCCGAGACUACUCUAAAUUGAUAACGCCCGC
rnacentral:lncRNA from 1 species